rnacentral:rRNA from 1 species
AUUGAACGCUGGCGGCAUGCCUUACACAUGCAAGUCGAACGGUAACAGGCCGCAAGGUGCUGACGAGUGGCGAACGGGUGAGUAAUGCAUCGGAACGUGCCCAGUCGUGGGGGAUAACUGCUCGAAAGAGCAGCUAAUACCGCAUACGACCUGAGGGUGAAAGCGGGGGACCGUAAGGCCUCGCGCGAUUGGAGCGGCCGAUGUCAGAUUAGCUAGUUGGUGGGGUAAAUGCCUACCAAGGCAACGAUCUGUAGUUGGUCUGAGAGGACGACCAGCCACACUGGGACUGAGACACGGCCCAGACUCCUACGGGAGGCAGCAGUGGGGAAUUUUGGACAAUGGGCGCAAGCCUGAUCCAGCAAUGCCGCGUGCAGGAAGAAGGCUUUCGGGUUGUAAACUGCUUUUGUCAGGGAAGAAAUCUUCUGGGCUAAUACCCCGGGAGGAUGACGGUACCUGAAGAAUAAGCACCGGCUAACUACGUGCCAGCCGCCGCAGUAAGAC